CUCCGAUUCCCUCAUUUGAAGGGCAAGUGAAAUAACUGAUCCUCACCUCCGGGGCUGUGUGCAGUGGGCAAUGAUAUUAUCUACCCGGCAGCUGGAGAUUUUUCUGGAGAUGAUCCAAGCAGACUUCAUACAGAUCUGGCCCGCCCAAUACAUCAGCAGUCCUGAAGAAACAGAUUAUUUUCUAUUUCACAUUGGAUCAAUUUCUGUUUUGAAAAUAUUGAUUUUCUCAUCAUGUAAGAGUCCAUAUGCCAAGGAAGUUCCCUAUGAAGAACUACAGUUACAGCUCUUUCUGAUAAUCAGACCAUCAGACAUUUGAGACUCAUACAGAUCCACUCUCUUGGCUACUU